AUUGAACGCUGGCGGCAUGCUUUACACAUGCAAGUCGAACGGUAACAGGGAGCUUGCUCCGCUGACGAGUGGCGAACGGGUGAGUAAUAUAUCGGAACGUACCCAAGAGUGGGGGAUAACGUAGCGAAAGUUACGCUAAUACCGCAUACGAUCCAAGGAUGAAAGCAGGGGACCUUCGGGCCUUGUGCUCCUGGAGCGGCCGAUAUCUGAUUAGCUAGUUGGUGAGGUAAAGGCUCACCAAGGCGACGAUCAGUAGCUGGUCUGAGAGGACGACCAGCCGCACUGGAACUGAGACACGGUCCAGACUCCUACGGGAGGCAGCAGUGGGGAAUUUUGGACAAUGGGCGCAAGCCUGAUCCAGCAAUGCCGCGUGAGUGAAGAAGGCCUUCGGGUUGUAAAGCUCUUUUGUCAGGGAAGAAACGGCUGUGGCUAAUAUCCACGGCUAAUGACGGUACCUGAAGAAUAAGCACCGGCUAACUACGUGCCAGCAGCCGCGGUAAUACGUAGGGUGCAAGCGUUAAUCGGAAUUACUGGGCGUAAAGCGUGCGCAGGCGGUUUUGUAAGUCUGUCGUGAAAUCCCCGGGCUCAACCUGGGAAUUGCGAUGGAGACUGCAAGGCUAGAAUCUGGCAGAGGGGGGUAGAAUUCCACGUGUAGCAGUGAAAUGCGUAGAGAUGUGGAGGAACACCGAUGGCGAAGGCAGCCCCCUGGGUCAAGAUUGACGCUCAUGCACGAAAGCGUGGGGAGCAAACAGGAUUAGAUACCCUGGUAGUCCACGCCCUAAACGAUGUCUACUAGUUGUCGGGUUUUAAUUAACUUGGUAACGCAGCUAACGCGUGAAGUAGACCGCCUGGGGAGUACGGUCGCAAGAUUAAAACUCAAAGGAAUUGACGGGGACCCGCACAAGCGGUGGAUGAUGUGGAUUAAUUCGAUGCAACGCGAAAAACCUUACCUACCCUUGACAUGUCAGGAAGACCGGAGGGAUCUGGUUGUGCCCGAAAGGGAACCUGAACACAGGUGCUGCGUGGCUGUCGUCAGCUCGUGUCGUGAGAUGUUGGGUUAAGUCCCGCAACGAGCGCAACCCUUGUCAUUAGUUGCUACGCAAGAGCACUCUAAUGAGACUGCCGGUGACAAACCGGAGGAAGGUGGGGAUGACGUCAAGUCCUCAUGGCCCUUAUGGGUAGGGCUUCACACGUCAUACAAUGGUACAUACAGAGGGCCGCCAACCCGCGAGGGGGAGCUAAUCCCAGAAAGUGUAUCGUAGUCCGGAUCGUAGUCUGCAACUCGACUACGUGAAGUUGGAAUCGCUAGUAAUCGCGGAUCAGCAUGCCGCGGUGAAUACGUUCCCGGGUCU
rnacentral:rRNA from 1 species